rnacentral:rRNA from 1 species
UACGAAGGGGGCUAGCGUUGUUCGGAAUUACUGGGCGUAAAGCGCACGUGGGCGGAUAUUUAAGUCAGGGGUGAAAUCCCAGAGCUCAACUCUGGAACUGCCUUUGAUACUGGGUAUCUCGAGUAUGGAAGAGGUGAGUGGAAUUCCGAGUGUAGAGGUGAAAUUCGUAGAUAUUCGGAGGAACACCAGUGGCGAAGGCGGCUCACUGGUCCAUUACUGACGCUGAGGUGCGAAAGCGUGGGGAGCAAACAGG